ensembl:lncRNA
CGCUCCGCCGGGGCUGUCCGCUCCCCCCUCCGGACGGAUACGGGGCGAGGCGGGGGGCGGCCAGGCCCCGCGGGGCCGUCACCGCACCCACCCCACCCCCUCCUGGAAAGAAGGGAGAGAGAUAACGGACACCCCGCAGGGUGUGCUCAGGGCCGAGGUGCAGGAGAUGGGUGAAAUCAAAUACGCCCGGAGGGCGCGGGGCUGCAGCCCCACCUGAGCUCCCAGCGCACCUGGGCACGGCCCGGCACGGCUGUGCGAGGCUGUCCCGCCCAGAGCAGCCCCGUAGUCACCCCCGCGCACACCUCGGCCUUAAGGACAGGAGACCCCCGGUGCCUGUGGGUCUGCCACGAAAGUCCCGGCGCUCAGCGAGCCGCCACGUGUGUUCGAACACGGACAAGUCGCCUCUUUUGCCCCCUGCCCCUCCAAAAGCGCAGUUUGCCCAACUUCUCUGCUUCUUCAUUUGCUGCGUCUCAGUCUUUAGCGUGGGAGAACCUGGAGAGGGACAGCCUGGGCUGCGCGUGGCGUGGGAUUAGCGGUAGCCCCGAGGAAGGCUGUACACGGGUUUAGAUUAGGAUAAAGCGUUUAUUGAUCGUUGCCUAGAGAUGCCCACUGCCGAAACGCUGAGUUCCUUCGCCCCUUCUCUUCGCUCUGCCUUCCUCCUCCUCCCCGCAAACCAAACUUAAAGUGAAAAGAAAAAAAAAAAAAAAAAAAGCACUGCGCUCUGCCAUUUCAGUCUAAACUCUUGGGUCCAUGUGCGAAAGAUAAAAAUGAAUUUGAAUCGCCAUUGGAAAAAAUCAGGAAUUGUAUGAGAUUUGCAAGAGCUGCUUUCUUAAACGGAAAUUGAGUCCUAUUUUGUGGGAAAUUAGUUUUGCAGACUUUCUGAAAAAAAAAAAAAUCUAAAACUUUUGUUCAGCAGCUGCUCCACUUUUCCCUGCAGUUUCAGGCUGAGCUGGAACCUGCAGCAGUCUUUCGACGGACUUCUGUAGCCUCGCUUGGUACUUUACGUUGGAGGCUAAAAGCACCAUCUUCCCGAGCAAUGCCAGAAUGACCCAGACCUGAACUCAGUGAAGACAACAGGAAUCUUUCCAUUACUUUAUGACAAAGGAUUGGAAACCAAGUCUCCCUCUGGGAUGAGAAGUGAAUUGCAUGACUUCCAACCAGAAAAGCUACAAUCUGCAUCAGGAUGCUUGACUGUCCCAGCGCACCCAAGUUUCUGAGUGUUUGUACAAAAGCUGCAGAUUUGCUGUGUCAGCAUGUUAGGCAGCAAUGCUUCUAACGACAAGAAAUAAAAUAUGUUUCUCUGACUCAGUGUCAACAGUAUUUACAUGUCAAUCCCGGUUACAUUUUAUUUUACUAUGACUUAAAUUAGAGUAAUUCAAUCACAAUUUUAUUUCUCCUGUGCUUGUGUUUU